rnacentral:tRNA from 1 species
GCCAGGGUAGUCUAGGGGAUAGGCAGCGGACUGCAGAUCCGCAUCACGCCGGUUCGAAUCCGGCCCCUGGCU